UGGGGAAUAUUGCGCAAUGGGGGAAACCCUGACGCAGCAACGCCGCGUGAGUGAGGAAGGACUUCGGUCUGUAAAGCUCUGUUAAUGUGGAAAAAUGGCAUCUGGUCUAAUAGGCCGGAUGUUUGAUGGUACACAUAGAGGAAGCACCGGCUAACUUCGUGCCAGCAGCCGCGGUAAUACGAAGGGUGCAAGCGUUACUCGGAAUUACUGGGCGUAAAGCGUGCGUAGGCGGUUAGUUAAGUCUGCUGUGAAAGCCCUGGGCUCAACCUGGGAACUGCAGUGGAUACUGGCUAGCUAGAGUGUGUCAGAGGAUGGUGGAAUUCCCGGUGUAGCGGUGAAAUGCGUAGAGAUCGGGAGGAACACCAGUGGCGAAGGCGGCCAUCUGGGACAACACUGACGCUGAGGCACGAAAGCGUGGGGAGCAAACAGGAUUAGAUACCCUGGUAGUCCACGCCCUAAACGAUGCGAACUGGACGUUGGGUCUCUUCUGACUCAGUAACGAAGCUAACGCGUGAAGUUGACCGCCUGGGGAGUACGGCCGCAAGGUG
rnacentral:rRNA from 1 species